rfam:Pteropus alecto contig26239, whole genome shotgun sequence.
AGCUUUGUGCAGUGGCAGUAUCGUGCCCAAUGAGGUUUAUUAGAGGCGUGAUUAUUGCUAAUUGAAACAACGAAGUAUAAAAGACUUAAAAACAAGUUCCUUGGCUAUUAAUCUACAUAAAAUCUGCAUGUAUUCAAAAUA